rnacentral:rRNA from 1 species
AACUGUGUGAAUUAAUGUG